rnacentral:rRNA from 1 species
UAGAGGAAGUAAAAGUCGUAACAAGGUUUCCGUAGGUGAACCUGCGGAAGGAUCAUUACAUUCAGUAGCUUGCUACUGUUAGGGGGGUCUAUCAGCCUGUAUAGUAUCACUACUGAUGAGCAGCACGACCCUCUGUCUGUACCCUUGUCUUUUGCGCACUCAUGUUUCCUCGGCGGGUUUACACCCGCCGGCUGGACAACUCUAUAACCUUUUUAAUUUUCAAUCAGCGUCUGAAAAACCUAAUAAUUACAACUUUCAACAACGGAUCUCUUGGUUCUGGCAUCGAUGAAGAACGCAGCGAAAUGCGAUAAGUAGUGUGAAUUGCAGAAUUCAGUGAAUCAUCGAAUCUUUGAACGCACAUUGCGCCCCUUGGUAUUCCAUGGGGCAUGCCUGUUCGAGCGUCAUUUGUACCCUCAAGCUCUGCUUGGUGUUGGGUGUUUGUCCACUCCCUAGUGUUUGGACUCGCCUCAAAGCAAUUGGCAGCCAGUGUUUUGGUAUUGAAGCGCAGCACAUUUUGCGAUUCUAGCCUAGAAUACUAGCGUCCAGUAAGCCUUUUUCCACUUUGACCUCGGAUCAGUAGAGCCCGAAAGCU